AGCGGGGUAGGGAAGCUAGGAGUACCCACCGGGCUCAUAACCCGGGGAUCGAUGGUUCAAAUCCAUCCCCCGCUA
rnacentral:tRNA from 1 species